GCCCCGGUAGCCCAAUCGGCAGAGGCAGCCACGCGCUUCAGUUUCAGAUUCUCGCUCCAGUCUCAGCAAAGCCGACGUUCCUCUGAUCCACCCGGCGGGGAAUUCGCCGAGAGAUGCCAGUUCGAUUCUGGCUCGGGGCA
rnacentral:tRNA from 1 species